GCGCGAAAACUUUACAAUGCUGGCAACAGCGAUAAGGGAACCUCGAGUGCCAGGUUACAAAUCUGGCUGUCGAGAUGCCUAAAAAGCAUUUCAUAGCAAGGGCCGGGCAAGACCGGUGCCAGCCGCCGCGGUAACACCGGCGGCCCGAGUGGUAACCGCUAUUAUUGGGUCUAAAGGGUCUGUAGCCGGCCGGAUAAGUCUCUUGAGAAAUCUGGCAGCUUAACUGUCAGGCUUUCAGGAGAUACUGUCUGGCUCGAGGCCGGGAGCGGUGAGAGGUACUUCAGGGGUAGGGGUGAAAUCUUGUAAUCCUUGAAGGACCACCAGUGGCGAAGGCGUCUCACCAGAACGGACCUGACGGCAAGGGACGAAAGCUAGGGGCACGAACCG
rnacentral:rRNA from 1 species